AACUCGGAACUGCUGCAGCUUAAAAACUCCACCCCACCACACCUGGGGGUGACUUCCCUGACUCCAUUCUCUCUCUCUCUCUCUCUCUCUCUCUCUGAGUCACAGAACCUCACCCGAGACCUUAGUUCCCAAAUAAAGCCUUUGACUGCUAAAAGUUUUUAGCCUCUGACUCCUAUCUUUACCCUGCCUUACACCUGACCCUAACAUUUGGUGCUGAAAGCCGGGGGGAGGUAGUAGCUCCCCUCCCUUGGCUGAGCUCCCUCCUUGCCAAGCCAGAGGCCAACCACCCUACUCUCAAGUGCCUACAGGAGGCAGGGACGACAGACUAGCAAUGCCCCCACGUGGCGAGGCUUCACCCCGAUUGGACUCUGCCUUCCAACUGCUGGAGAUGGACGAUGACGACUGACGAGGCCCAGACUCAGUAACUCCGGUGACCCACGCUGAGCCCAGGGUAAAACUCCAGGUAGCGGUUUCCCAGGUUGCAUUUCACCAGAUGGUGGUCCGGCCAUCUUCCCGCAUUCCAGCCUCAGACCCCACAUACCAUGACCUCGCCCUUACACCCGC